AGCCGGAUGGCUGACAAAAGCAGUAAACUGUAGAUUUAUUUAUAAGAUCCUAUCUUUUCGGUUA
rnacentral:tRNA from 1 species